rnacentral:lncRNA from 1 species
CAAGGGGGUGGGCCUUGGACGGCAUAUAUGAUUGAGGACAAAUGAGAUGUUAAACCGUUUGGAGACAACGGUGGUGGAGAUGUAGCCAUCCAGGCGGACUGCCCCAACUCCCCUGCUUGGUGAGGGGAGGACUCGGGCUGUGGAUGUGGAGGACAGCCGUGUGGCGAUAUGCGCAGAAAAAAACAAGAGGACCCGUUAGAUUUAAGAAAAUGGACGGGGCCGGCGGGACGUCACGAUGCGCCGUUGCCACAAAGCUCAAGAACGCGCUCAUUUGGCUCCCAGCAUGCUGCACGUCCGGAGGGACCGCUGGUUACCAGGAGCUCAUCCAAACCCAGUGCAACCCACCCUGCUGCAUCUGACGAGGAAACAAAACUUAUACACAAAAGAAACCAGAAAAUGAAGCAGAAAUGAAGAUGGCAACAUCCUUAAACUUCCAGGUGUGUCGGAGGUUGUGUGUGUGUGUGUGUGUGUGUUGCCGGCAGAGCGUCGUGUUCGCAGGCCUGAGGGGUUGUCUGUUAUCUUUGGUUAUCUAGCUGUAUGAGUGAUGUACAUUCUUCAUAAAGCUAGAUAACCGAAAGUAACAAGAAUCCCAUUACACGCCUGCACGGAGGCAGAAAACAAAAUAAAAAACACAAAAAGACCCAGGAAUGGCCUCGGACGACGGACGUUGCAAACUGAUGAUGUGAAGGUAUGAUGCUGUGUUACAAAAGGGGUGAUUUAAA